UACGUAGGGGGCUAGCGUUGUCCGGAUUUAUUGGGCGUAAAGAGCGUGUAGGCGGCCAGGUAGGUCUGCUGUGAAAACUCGAGGCUCAACCUCGGGACGUCGGCGGAAACCAUCUGGCUAGAGUCCGGAAGAGGAGAGUGGAAUUCCUGGUGUAGCGGUGAAAUGCGCAGAUAUCAGGAAGAACACCCGUGGCGAAGGCGGCUCUCUGGGACGGUACUGACGCUGAGACACGAAAGCGUGGGGAGCGAACAGG
rnacentral:rRNA from 1 species